rnacentral:rRNA from 1 species
AUUGAACGCUGGCGGCAGGCCUAACACAUGCAAGUCGAACGGUAACAGGAAGCAGCUUGCUGCUUCGCUGACGAGUGGCGGACGGGUGAGUAAUGUCUGGGAAGCUGCCUGAUGGAGGGGGAUAACUACUGGAAACGGUAGCUAAUACCGCAUAAUGUCGCAAGACCAAAGAGGGGGACCUUCGGGCCUCUUGCCAUCGGAUGUGCCCAGAUGGGAUUAGCUUGUUGGUGGGGUAACGGCUCGCCAAGGCGACGAUCCCUAGCUGGUCUGAGAGGAUGACCAGCCACACUGGAACUGAGACACGGUCCAGACUCCUACGGGAGGCAGCAGUGGGGAAUAUUGCACAAUGGGCGCAAGCCUGAUGCAGCCAUGCCGCGUGUAUGAAGAAGGCCUUCGGGUUGUAAAGUACUUUCAGCGGGGAGGAAGGGAGUAAAGUUAAUACCUUUGCUCAUUGACGUUACCCGCAGAAGAAGCACCGGCUAACUCCGUG